rnacentral:rRNA from 1 species
UACGGGGGGGGCAAGCGUUGUUCGGAAUUACUGGGCGUAAAGGGCGCGUAGGCGGCCUUCUAAGUCGGACGUGAAAUCCCUCGGCUUAACCGAGGAACUGCGUCCGAUACUGAAAGGCUUGAAUCCGGGAGAGGGAUGUGGAAUUCCAGGUGUAGCGGUGAAAUGCGUAGAUAUCUGGAGGAACACCGGUGGCGAAGGCGGCAUCCUGGACCGGUAUUGACGCUGAGGCGCGAAAGCUAGGGGAGCGAACGGG